rnacentral:rRNA from 1 species
CCCUUAGAUGUCCGGGGCUGCACGCGCGCUACACUGAAUGAAUCAGCGUGCUAGAAAACCUUGUUUGACAUGGCUAGGUAACCCAUUGAAAAUCAUUCGUGAUUGGGAUCGGGACUUGCAAAUGUGUCCCUUGAACGAGGAAUUCCCAGUAAGUGCGGGUCAUCAGCUCGCGUUGAUUACGUCCCUGCCCUUUGUACACACCGCCCGUCGCUCCUACCGAUUGAAUGGUCCGGUGAAGCGUUUGGACUAUGGUUUUCUGAUGGUCCGCCGUUGGAUUACCGUGGGAAGUUCGUUAAACCUUAUCAUUUAGAGGAAGGAGAAGUCGUAACA